rnacentral:rRNA from 1 species
GCGCGCAGAUGAUAUAGGUGUAGGGGUUGUCAUGACCUCUGUGCCGCCGCUAACGCAUUAAGUCUUCCGCCUGGGGAGUACGGUCGCCAGAUUAAAACUCCAAGGAAUUGACGGGGGCCCGCACAAGCAGCGGAGCAUGUGGUUUAAUUCCAAGCAACGCGAAGAACCUUACCUAGACUUGACAUCUCCUGCAUUACCCUUAAUCGGGGAAGUUCCUUCGGGAACAGGAAGACAGGUGGUGCAUGGUUGUCGUCAGCUCGUGUCGUGAGAUGUUGGGUUAAGUCCCGCAACGAGCGCAACCCUUAUUGUUAGUUGCUACCAUUUAGUUGAGCACUCUAGCGAGACUGCCCGGGUUAACCGGGAGGAAGGUGGGGAUGACGUCAAAUCAUCAUGCCCCUUAUGUCUAGGGCUACACACGUGCUACAAUGGCCAGUACAAAGAGAAGCAAGACCGCGAGGUGGAGCAAAACUCAAAAACUUGUCUCAGUUCGGAUUGUAGGCUGAAACUCGCCUACAUGAAGCUGGAGUUGCUAGUAAUCGCGAAUCAGCAUGUCGCGGUGAAUACGUUCCCGGGCCUUGUACACACCGCCCGUCACACCAUGAGAGUUGGCAAUACCCAACGUACGUGAUCUAACCCGCAAGGGAGGAAGCGUCCUAAGGUAGGGUCAGCGAUUGGGGUGAAGUCGUAACA